CGCACAUUGCGCCCUUUGGUAUUCCGAAGGGCAUACCUGUCCGAGCGUCAUUUCAAACCUCAAGCCUAGCUUGGUGUUGGAUACGGUCUCCGGACUGAUCCCUAACCGAAUGGCGGUACCAAGUAACCUAAAGCGUAGCAGAAUCAUCGUUUUGGGGCCUAUUUGGCACCUGCUGGAAAAGUCACCCUAAAGUUUGACCUCGGAUCAGGUAGGGAUACCCGCUGAACUUAA
rnacentral:misc_RNA from 1 species